rnacentral:rRNA from 1 species
GAUGAACGCUGGCGGCGUGCCUAAUACAUGCAAGUCGAGCGAAUGGAUUAAGAGCUUGCUCUUAUGAAGUUAGCGGCGGACGGGUGAGUAACACGUGGGUAACCUGCCCAUAAGACUGGGAUAACUCCGGGAAACCGGGGCUAAUACCGGAUAACAUUUUGAACCGCAUGGUUCGAAAUUGAAAGGCGGCUUCGGCUGUCACUUUGGGAUGGACCCGGGUCGCAUUAGCUAGUUGGUGAGGUAACGGCUCACCAAGGCAACGAUGCGUAGCCGACCUGAGAGGGUGAUCGGCCACACUGGGACUGAGACACGGCCCAGACUCCUACGGGAGGCAGCAGUAGGGAAUCUUCCGCAAUGGACGAAAGUCUGACGGAGCAACGCCGCGUGAGUGAUGAAGGCUUUCGGGUCGUAAAACUCUGUUGUUAGGGAAGAACAAGUGCUAGUUGAAUAAGCUGGCACCUUGACGGUACCUAACCAGAAAGCCACGGCUAACUACGUGCCAGCAGCCGCCGUAA